rnacentral:lncRNA from 1 species
ACUCAACCAUUUGAGCCCUUUUGAUCUUCCUUCAUCUAGUCUUCCUUUCCUAGUCCACAGAUGGCUGCCUGGCUUCAGAGAUGGGGGUUUUCCCUUUUGAACCCGGGAGACUUCAAGGCCCAGCUGAGAUGUCCGGAUAUCCGGUGCCAUCCAAGAAGCCUGAACCCCCAGCGCCGCGGCUGAUCCUCCUUGCAGGAGCCAAAGUUUGACUUUGGGUCAAGGAGUUAUACCAACAUGUCCAUACCAAUUAGCAGAAAUGAUAAAUGCGAAGCCAGCAGAGUAAGAAGUAGAGAACAGGAAUGGGACCAGAGCUUGGCUGGACUCAGGUA